AGGGGUCAACAUCUACUAAAUUUUAAUUAGGCUUGGGUUAAUGCAGGAUGUUGGUUGGUUAUUUUUGGGCUAAGAAAGGGUGAUAAAAUCUCCAUCUUAUCUUAUUAAUGGGUGUUACCCUUAAGUUGAUUUCAGAUGAAUAUGCACAAUCAAUUUUAAUUAAGGAGUUCUAUGCAACUAAAUUAUAUGCAUAAAAUUAAUCAAACUGAAAGCU
rnacentral:lncRNA from 1 species